UACGUAGGGGGCAAGCGUUGUCCGGAUUUAUUGGGCGUAAAGAGCGUGUAGGCGGUCAGGUAGGUCCGUUGUGAAAACUCGAGGCUCAACCUCGAGACGCCGAUGGAAACCAUCUGACUAGAGUCCGGAAGAGGAGAGUGGAAUUCCUAGUGUAGAGGUGAAAUUCGUAGAUAUUAGGAAGAACACCAGUGGCGAAGGCGGCUCACUGGCCCGGUACUGACGCUGAGGCGCGAAAGCGUGGGGAGCAAACAGG
rnacentral:rRNA from 1 species